CUCGUAGUUGGAUCUCGGUGCCGGUCUGGCGGUCCGCCUCGCCCCGGUCUCACUGCCAGUCCCGGAGCCAUCCCGCCGGCCUUCCCUCGGUGCUCUUUACCGAGUGUCUUGGGUGACCGGAACGUUUACUUUGAACAAAUUAUAGUGCUCCAAGCAGGCGCGUCCCGCCCGCAUAGCCCAG
rnacentral:rRNA from 1 species